rnacentral:rRNA from 1 species
GUGAGGAAUAUUGGUCAAUGGACGAGAGUCUGAACCAGCCAAGUAGCGUGAAAGAUGACUGCCCUAUGGGUUGUAAACUUCUUUUAUAAGGGAAUAAAGUGAGGGACGUGUCCCUUUUUGUAUGUACCUUAUGAAUAAGGAUCGGCUAACUCCGUGCCAGCAGCCGCGGUAAUACGGAGGAUCCAAGCGUUAUCCGGAUUUAUUGGGUUUAAAGGGAGCGUAGGUUGACAUAUAAGUCAGCUGUGAAAGUUUACGGCUCAACUGUGAAAUUGAAGUUGAUACUGUAUGUCUUGAGUGUACAAGAGGUGGACGGAAUGCGUGGUGUAGCGGUGAAAUGCUUAGAUAUCACGAAGAACUCCAAUUGCGAAGGCAGCUCACUGGGGUACAACUGACACUGAGGCUCGAAAGUGUGGGUAUCAAACAGGAUUAGAAACCCCGGUAGUCC